GUUAUAUGGUCAAGUGAAUAAGCGCAUACGGUGAAUGCCUAGGCGGUAAGAGGCGAUGAAGGACGUUGUAGCAUGCGAUAAGCCACGGUUAGUUUGCAAACUAACUUUGAUCCGUGGAUUUCCGAAUGGGGAAACCCGGCCAGGACAACCUGGUCAUCAGUGACUGAAUACAUAGGUCAUUAGAAGCGAACCCGGAGAACUGAAACAUCUAAGUACCCGGAGGAAAAGAAAUCAACCGAGAUUCCCUUAGUAGCGGCGAGCGAACGGGGAUUAGCCCUUAAGCAUUAAUUAAGUUAGUAGAACACUCUGGAAAGUGUGGCCAUAGACGGUGAUAGCCCGGUAUACGAAAAUUUUUUUAGUGUGAAAUCGAGUAGGUCGGAGCACGUGAAACUCUGACUGAACAUGGGGGGACCAUCCUCCAAGGCUAAAUACUCCUUACCGACCGAUAGUGAACUAGUACCGUGAGGGAAAGGCGAAAAGAACCCCGGAGAGGGGAGUGAAAUAGAUCCUGAAACCGUAUGCGUACAAGCAGUGGGAGCAUGUCUUCGGACGUGUGACUGCGUACCUUUUGUAUAAUGGGUCAGCGACUUAAUCUUAGUGGCGAGCUUAACCGAAUAGGGGAGGCGUAGCGAAAGCGAGUCUUAAUAGGGCGAAUUAGUCGCUAGGAUUAGACCCGAAACCGGGCGAUCUAUCCAUGGCCAGGUUGAAGGUGGGGUAAUACCUACUGGAGGACCGAACCCACUUAUGUUGAAAUAUGAGGGGAUGAGCUGUGGAUUGGAGUGAAAGGCUAAUCAAGCCCGGAGAUAGCUGGUUCUCCUCGAAAGCUAUUUAGGUAGCGCCUCGUGUAUAACUAUUGGGGGUAGAGCACUGUUUCGGCCAGGGGGUCAUCCCGACUUACCAACCCGAUGCAAACUCCGAAUACCAAUAAGUUCCAGCACGGGAGACACACAGCGGGUGAUAAGGUCCGUUGUGAAAAGGGAAACAGCCCAGACCGUCAGCUAAGGUCCCAAAAUCUAUGCUCAGUGGGAAACGAUGUGAGAAGGCCCAGACAGCCAGGAGGUUGGCUUAGAAGCAGCCAUCCUUUAAAGAAAGCGUAAUAGCUCACUGGUCGAGUCGGCUUGCGCGGAAGAUUUACCGGGGCUAAGCAUAGUACCGAAGCUACGGAUCAUACUUUUAGUAUGGUGGUAGAGGAGCGUUCUGUAAGUCUGCGAAGGUCAAUUGAGAAGUUGGCUGGAGAUAUCAGAAGUGCGAAUGCUGACAUGAGUAACGAUAAUGGGGGUGAAAAACCCCCACGCCGAAAACCCAAGGUUUCCUGCGCAACGCUAAUCGACGCAGGGUUAGUCGGUACCUAAGGCGAGGCCGAAAGGCGUAGUCGAUGGAAAACAGGUUAAUAUUCCUGUACCGCAAUUAACUGCGAUGGGGUGACGGAGAAGGCUAGAUCAGCCAACUGUUGGAAUAGUUGGUUUAAGCACGUAGGGAGGACUCUUAGGUAAAUCCGGGGGUCUAUAUUCUGAGGUGUUAUGACGAGUUUCUUUUCGAAGAGAUGAAGUGAUUGAUGCCAUGCUUCCAAGAAAAACCUCUAAGCUUCAGGUUAAUUGUGGCCGUACCCCAAACCGACACAGGUGGGUGGGAUGAGAAUUCUAAGGCGCUUGAGAGAACUCGGGUGAAGGAACUAGGCAAAAUGGUACCGUAACUUCGGGAGAAGGUACGCCCUAUAGGUGAAGCGACUUGCUCGUGGAGCUCAAUAGGGUUGCAAUAAAAUGGUGGCUGCGACUGUUUAUCAAAAACAUAGCACUCUGCAAACUCGAAAGAGGACGUAUAGGGUGUGACGCCUGCCCGGUGCCGGAAGGUUAAUUGAUGGGGUUAUCUUCGGAGAAGCUCUUGAUCGAAGCCCCGGUAAACGGCGGCCGUAACUAUAACGGUCCUAAGGUAGCGAAAUUCCUUGUCGGGUAAGUUCCGACCUGCACGAAUGGCGUAACGACGGCCACACUGUCUCCACCCGAGACUCAGUGAAAUUGAAAUCGCUGUGAAGAUGCAGUGUACCCGCGGCUAGACGGAAAGACCCCGUGCACCUUUACUAUAGCUUUACGCUGGACUUUGACCCUACUUGUGUAGGAUAGGUGGGAGACUUUGAAGCAGGAACGCUAGUUUUUGUGGAGUCAACCUUGAAAUACCACCCUGGUAUGUUUGAAGUUCUAACCUAGGUCCGUUAUCCGGAUCGGGGACAGCGUAUGGUGGGUAGUUUGACUGGGGCGGUCUCCUCCCAAAGAGUAACGGAGGAGCACGAAGGUACCCUCAGCAUGGUCGGAAAUCAUGCAAUGAGUGCAAAGGCAUAAGGGUGCUUGACUGCGAGAUAGACACAUCGAGCAGGUACGAAAGUAGGUCUUAGUGAUCCGGUGGUUCUGAAUGGAAGGGCCAUCGCUCAACGGAUAAAAGGUACGCCGGGGAUAACAGGCUGAUACCGCCCAAGAGUUCAUAUCGACGGCGGUGUUUGGCACCUCGAUGUCGGCUCAUCACAUCCUGGGGCUGGAGCAGGUCCCAAGGGUAUGGCUGUUCGCCAUUUAAAGUGGUACGCGAGCUGGGUUCAGAACGUCGUGAGACAGUUCGGUCCCUAUCUGCCGUGGGCGUUUGAGAUUUGAGGGCAUCUGCUCCUAGUACGAGAGGACCGGAGUGGACGAACCUCUGGUGUUCCGGUUGUCACGCCAGUGGCAUUGCCGGGUAGCUAUGUUCGGACAGGAUAACCGCUGAAAGCAUCUAAGCGGGAAACCUCGCCCAAGAUGAGAUCUCACUGGUACUUUAAGUACCCUGAAGGGCCCUGAGAGACUAUCAGGUUGAUAGGCUGGGUGUGGAAGCGCAGUAAUGUGUGAAGCUAACCAGUACUAAUUGCCCGUGAGGCUUGACCAUAUAACACCCAAGUAGUUUGG
rnacentral:rRNA from 1 species